UGCAACAUGUCACUGCACUAGUAAAAUCUUGUCGAUUUUCUCCCUGUGAAUUUUCAUCGGUUAUACGAAAUCGUAGUCCAUAGAAUGGACAUUGCAAUCAAUUCCGGUUGAACGUUUCACGGAUCAUUGUUCCAUUUCGCAACGAGUACGUUUGUCCAUGCGGUUACAUGCAUUGUUGUUACAUUUCUGCCAAUAGAAGAAGCCUGUUUUCAUGAAGUAGAUAUCGACUACACACAAAACAAUAUGGUGACAAUGUGGUGAAAUAAAUACUGACAAAACGCGCAAUUAAAAUGUAUAAUGAAACGUUAAAUCGCACGAGAAUUGCAGUUCUAGUAAGUGAGCUACAUCGGUCGCUAAUUACUUACAAGAUUAAUUUUCAACCAAGUUCGCCACAGAUAUUACGAGAUUAAGUCUCUUUUUUAAGUCAUGUUGCAAGCAGGAAGCCAUUUUUCUUCGACGAAGCUCUUGGCUAAGCAAAAAAAAAAAAAAAGGAAG